GCAUAUCUAUGAGCGGAGGAAAAAGAAACCAACAGGGAUUGCCCUAGUAACGGCGAGUGAAGCGGCAACAGCUCAAAUUUGAAAUCUGGCUCUCUUUGGGGGUCCGAGUUGUAAUUUGCAGAGGAUGCUUUGGCAUUGGCGGCGGUCUAAGUUCCUUGGAACAGGACAUCACAGAGGGUGAGAAUCCCGUACGUGGUCGCCUGCCUUUGCCGUGUAAAGCUCCUUCGACGAGUCGAGUUGUUUGGGAAUGCAGCUCUAAAUGGGAGGUAAAUUUCUUCUAAAGCUAAAUACUGGCCAGAGACCGAUAGCGCACAAGUAGAGUGAUCGAAAGAUGAAAAGUACUUUGGAAAGAGAGUCAAAAAGCACGUGAAAUUGUUGAAAGGGAAGCGCUUGCAGCCAGACUUGCCCGCAGUUGCUCACCUAGGCUUUGGCCUGGGGCACUCUUCUGCGGGCAGGCCAGCAUCAGUUUGGGCGGUUGGAUAAAGGCCUCUGUCACGUAUCUCCCUUCGGGGUGACCUUAUAGGGGAGGCGCAAUGCAACCAGCCCGGACUGAGGUCCGCGCAUCUGCUAGGAUGCUGGCGUAAUGGCUGUAAGCGGCCCGUCUUGAAACACGGACCAAGGAGUCUAACAUCUAUGCGAGUGUUUGGGUGUCAAGCCCGAGCGCGCAAUGAAAGUGAACGGAGGUGGGAACCCUUUGGGUGCACCAUCGACCGAUCCUGAUGUCUUCGGAUGGAUUUGAGUAAGAGCAUAGCUGUUGGGACCCGAAAGAUGGUGAACUAUGCUUGAAUAGGGUGAAGCCAGAGGAAACUCUGGUGGAGGCUCGCAGCGGUUCUGACGUGCAAAUCGAUCGUCAAAUUUGGGCAUAGGGGCGAAAGACUAAUCGAACCAUCUAGUAGCUGGUUCCUGCCGAAG
rnacentral:rRNA from 1 species